GAUCCUGGCUCAGGAUGAACGCUAGCUACAGGCUUAACACAUGCAAGUCGAGGGGCAUCGGGAAGAAAGCUUGCUUUCUUUGCUGGCGACCGGCGCACGGGUGAGUAACACGUAUCCAACCUGCCCUUUACUCGGGGAUAGGCCUUUCGAAAGAAAGAUUAAUACCCGAUGGGAUAAUUAUUCCGCAUGGUUUGAUUAUUAAAGGAUUCCGGUAAAGGAUGGGGAUGCGUUCCAUUAGGUUGUUGGUGAGGUAACGGCU
rnacentral:rRNA from 1 species